rnacentral:rRNA from 1 species
AUCACAAGUUGUGACUAUAGAUGGAUAUGGAAAACUGGCAUUCCCCUGAAGAUUAAGAUCUUUAUGCAGCAACUGUCUCGGGAUUCAAUUCUAACUAGAGAUGUGAUGAAACAUAAGGGGUGGAAGGGGGACGCUAAAUGUUCAUUCUGUGGGGAUUGAGAGACUGCCCAACAUCUUUUCUUUACUUGCUCUGUUGCUAGGGUAACCUGGAGAACGACCGCAUGUAUGUUUAGCACUGAUAAGUGUCCAGACAAUAUGUGGCAAGCUUACUCUUGGUGUUACACUUUCUUUCCAAAAAGGGAGACUUUCUAUACUGUUGGUAUUGCCGUGCUAUGUUGGGCAAUUUGA